UGGAUCGAUGAUGACUACCAGUGGCAUAUGAGUCAUAUAUGAUGAAUACGUGUCUGGAACUCCGAGGUCCAU
ensembl:snoRNA SNORD114-22 small nucleolar RNA, C/D box 114-22